rnacentral:rRNA from 1 species
GUGCCAGCAGCCGCGGUAAGACGGAGGGUGCAAACGUUGUUCGGAAUCACUGGGCGUAAAGGGCGCGUAGGCGGACUUGUAAGUCGGGAGUGAAAACUCGGGGCUCAACCCCGAGCCUGCUUCUGAAACUGCGAGUCUUGAGGACCGGAGAGGAAAGUGGAAUUCCUAGUGUAGCGGUGGAAUGCGUAGAUAUUAGGAAGAACACCAGUGGCGAAGGCGACUUUCUGGACGGUUCCUGACGCUGAGGCGCGAAAGCUAGGGGAGCAAACAGGAUUAGAAACCCGCGUAGUCC